rnacentral:sRNA from 1 species
CCCUAGCCCCGAUAGCAGCGACAUCCUUUUUUGCUUUUUCGGAUAUUUUCUACUGAUAAAACAAUUUCUAAAGCAAAAAAGAUACAGCGGAUAGCGGGAAAUAGC